UUUGAUUUAUUAAAUUAUAGUUUAUACACAAUACAAUGUAUCUGUUAUCAAUGAUUUCAGCAGGCAGGUAUCUAGUCUAUUCUUAGGAAAUUACAUAACAUCUAUUUUUAGCUUAGUAGGAAUAGUGCCCUAGAGGGAGGUUAGAGUAUUGUUGAUGAAUUGAGAGGAAGCAUCGUUGUAUUUGAUGCAAUUACAAUUAGUUAUUAUCUACUGUUUUCGAACCAUAUUCGAAAAAAUCUUUUAUGUUAACGGAUAUUGACAUAGAUAUACGUUUCUUUGGAAUAGUGAUUGGAUAUUGUUCAUUUGAUUGAGUAAUUAUUAUCACUUCAAUGUCACUUUCCAAGUGCGUGCUAUGGGUACGCGCCCAGGUAACACAGAUAAUCGUGUUAUGAGCUUUAAUAUUUCGAAACUGGAUUAACUCUUCUUGUAGAGUUGAGAACAAGAACAUUGAUGUCCAGCUCACGCUAUGAGAAUGACUGAUUGACCUUAUUUCGAUAUGGAGACAUUCGGCCAUGACAGCAUUUUCAAGUGCGCGAUCCCACAAUGCAACGCAUAUUUGUAAACAAUAACAAUACACGAUUGAGUAGACUAAUUGUGUAAACGUUCGUUUAAUUUUAAUACACAGCUUGAAUUAAUAAUAACUGUUGGUUAGCAUUUUCCAAAUGUCAGUAUCAUUACAGUUUCCCGUACAUUAGGCCCGCCAGUUUUAUCGCUAUGUCGACGGCAUUCAAUAUUCCAUAAACACUACGUUUGAACUCAUGCUAUAUCAGCACACUAGCUAUGCAUACACAUUCCAUUUGCCUUUAAUGCUUAAUUUCUUUGAUAAGCAGCCGAUAAGCAUGUUUCUACCGCCCAGGCUCGGAAGUCAGUGAUCGUGAUACAUGAGAUAUAUACAUUUGUUAUGGUUUUAUGCAGAACCACUGCGUCUGGUGGACACUUUGCUUCAACGUAGUUAUAGUUCCAGAUUAGUCCUUACAAUGUAUUAAUUCCGCAGUUCUUCAACACUAGUCCCAGGGCACUGAGGGAACGCUUAGAUCAUACAGAACACACCGGGUUUACCAUAUACUAGGCUAGUAUACAGGUUUAUCAUAUACUAAUGCAGAGUAGGGUGUGAAGAGCAGCAUGGAGAUUCGAAGAUAUGUAUACUCAGCACAUAUAUAUGUCUGAACUUCUUAAGGAUAUGCAACUGAUUGUAUUGGAUUGGUGGAAACUUUGCCUUUGUUAAGUAUAAGUAAUAUUUUUUUUUAUUUUAUUGAUAAGCACAACAUACAUCUGUAAUAACAGCAGACACAUACAUGUAUUUAAAUAAGUAAUACUAUGUAUUAAUGUCUCAUAUUUUAGCACAUAGUAUCACACGGUAUCUUUAUCUCUAUUCUAGAUUGUUCCACACCGACAGAGAUCUCUUCAGGUUAACAUUUCGUACAUAUAGUAUGAAUUUAUAUUUUAUGUACAUGUAUUAUAUUCCACAUACAUGUAGUACAGAAGCACAGUAUUUAUCAUGUUAAUAUUGCUAUUAUAGAUUGCUACAUGUACAUGUAUCUCUAUUCUAGAUUAUUCUACACCUUCCAGGACAUUUCUCAGUCAUAUGUAUUUAUUUUAUAUGUAUGAUAUUUCAUCACAUAGCACAGUUUUUAUCAUAUUUAUAUUUAUUCCUGAGGGUUCCACAACCGUCCAAGAUCUCUUCAGGUGUAUAUUUCGUACGGUAUAUUAAGAAUUAUAUGAAUUUAAAUGUAUAUAUAUUUCAGCACAUAGUACAUGAAGCACACAGUUUUUAUCAUGUUCAUAUCGCUAUUCUAUUUGCUAUCUCUAUACUAGAUUAUUUUACACAUUCCAGGAUCUUCCAAGAUGGACAUUUCUCAGUAUUGUUAUGCAUACAUGUCGAACCUGCUGGAUCGCUACAGGUCUUUCAUUCUUUUUAUGUAUAUUGUACUACACCUGCUGGAUCGCCACAGGUCGUAUUGUACUUGCUGCAUCGCCACAGAUCAUUCAUUAUCUUAAUGUAUACUGUACUAUGCCUGCUUGAUCGCUACAGGUUAAUUUAAUUAUGUGUAUUGUACUACACCUGCUGGAUCGCCACAGGUCAUAUUAUCUUUUAUUAUGUAUUAAUGUGUUAUAUUUAACUCAGCGAGUAUUUCCACUUAGACUCUCUUGUUUAAGGAUUACUAAGACUUCCCAGGUUGUUUCUUUUAUUUUAUUUUACAGGAAAAUAAAGAUACAGAUAUUAAAACCUUCGUUUUUCGGAUGAAGACUUCAGAACUUUAUAGCACCGUUAUAUAUAAAAAAACAAUACCCUGAUGCCUGCCUUCAUAUAUAGUAUAAUGUGUUAGACAACAGUUCAACUUUGUUUAUUUUAACCUAUCGUUUUCGGAUGCAGAAUUCAGAACUAUUAAGCACUAGAUAUGAGGAUAGCUAUAUCUUGAUGCAGACUUCAGAACUAUAUAGCACCGGAAUAUAUAAGGAGGACGAUACCUUGAUUCAUGCAUUCAUCAUGUUCAUAGUUAAUGUGUCAGAACUAGUCACAUUUCUUUAAGCAUUAAACGCAAGAAUUUUAACUAUGUAAGACAGAGUUAUUUUAUCCGUCUGGGUUAGAGAGAAGUGAUUACUGUGAUCACUCUUUCAGAACUGGUAGAGGGUUCUUUUUAAAGCACAACAGAAAUGUGUUGUUUUUGAAAUUAUUGUAUUGUUAAUGUAAUUUUUUAUUUUUUUUUACAUUUGUUUUUGCUAGCAUUAUUAUUUCUUGGGGCUUUCAUUCUUUCAUUUUAUGAACUCAUUUCAUUUGGCUUUUAAUUCCAGGGGAAUCAUACUCCCCCAAUUCAAUAAUACAUCAGAUAGGUAAUUCCUGUCGAGGAACAAUUUGUAUUUUAAGUAGUAUUUUUACUACGCUGGGAUCGCCCAGGAGCAAUUAGGUUCAUUCCUGGGGAUCGCCCCAGGAAUUAGGUUCAUUCCUGUCGAGGAACAAAUAGGUUCAUUCCUGGGGAUCGCCCCAGGAACUAGGUUCAUUCCUGGGGGUCGCCUCAGGAAUUAGGUCCAUUCCUGUCGAGGAAAAUAGGUUCAUUCCUGGGGAUCGCCCCAGGAACUAGGUUCAUUCCUAGGGAUCACCCCAGGAAAUAGGUUCAUUCCUGCCGAGGAACAAAUAGGUUCAUUCCUGGGGAUCGCCACAGGAACAUUUUUUACUAAUCGCUUAUUUUUAUUUUUCUCAUAUUUUGAUAAGUUUUGAAUUUAUUUUCUCAUAUUUUGAAUAGUUUGAAAUGUUUAUUUCAAUUCUCUUAAGUGAACGAGUAGCCCCCAGAAAGCCAAUAAUGUAUUAUAUAGUUUGUCAUACAAUGUAGAAAGAUAUGUACUGUUAUGAUACAGUUUAUUUAGUUGUAGUUUUAGUAUGUUUUGAUAUUUUAUUAAUAAACAUAAAUCUUAAAUUGUGUUGUGUAUAAAAGGAAAUUUGAUUUAUUAAAUUAUAGUUUAUACACAAUACAAUGUAUCUGUUAUCAAUGAUUUCAGCAGGCAGGUAUCUAGUCUAUUCUUAGGAAAUUACAUAACAUCUAUUUUUAGCUUAGUAGGAAUAGUGCCCUAGAGGGGGGUUAGAGUAUUGUUGAUGAAUUGAGAGGAAGCAUCGUUGUAUUUGAUGCAAUUACAAUCAGUUAUCCCACCCACCAGCCCCAAC